rnacentral:rRNA from 1 species
AUUGAACGCUGGCGGCAUGCCUUACACAUGCAAGUCGAACGGUAACGGGCCUUCGGGUGCCGACGAGUGGCGAACGGGUGAGUAAUGUAUCGGAACGUACCUUUCAGUGGGGGAUAACGUAGCGAAAGUUACGCUAAUACCGCAUAUUCUGUGCGCAGGAAAGCAGGGGAUCGCAAGACCUUGCGCUGAUUGAGCGGCCGAUAUCAGAUUAGCUAGUUGGUGAGGUAAAGGCUCACCAAGGCGACGAUCUGUAGCGGGUCUGAGAGGAUGAUCCGCCACACUGGAACUGAGACACGGUCCAGACUCCUACGGGAGGCAGCAGUGGGGAAUUUUGGACAAUGGGGGCAACCCUGAUCCAGCCAUGCCGCGUGAGUGAAGAAGGCCUUCGGGUUGUAAAGCUCUUUCGGCCGGGAAGAAAUCGUAUGGGCUAAUACCCUGUGUGGAUGACGGUACCGGCAUAAGAAGCACCGGCUAACUACGUGCCAGCCGCCGCGGUAAAAC